AAACUUGCUGCUGAGACUGGGUGGAGUGAGAGAAGCCAAUUGAUGGAACAGUGAGAGAAAAUUAAGGAUGCAUUCCUGAAAAUUUUCAGAGCCCACUAAUGCUAAGAUUAGGGAACAGGCUCAAAAAUGCAUGGAUGCAAUGUCAAUUGCAGGAAGUGUUACUUAAGGGUUUUUUGGUUGCUGUUUUUUGUUGUGGGUUUUUGUUUGUUUGCUUGUUUGUUUUGUAAGAUAAAGAAAAUGGUGUUGGACAUUGGGAGAACAAAGCUGCUUCCAAGGGCCUACCAUGCUUUAAAAAUGGGGGAAAACAGCAACAACAAAACAAGGGAAGGAGAAUCACCAGCUUGUGCUUGUGUGCCUACCUCCAACCUGGUAUUAAGAGCACUCACACAAAAGGAGCCUCACACCACUUCUGCACAAACAGUUUAUGUAUUUCCACACUGCCUCCUAGAUUCCUCCACUUCCUUCCUCCCCACUGGUGUUCACUUGCAGACUCUGCUUCUUGUUCAUCUCAGCCUAUCCUAGUUCACCCCAGCCCAUCUUUAUGGCUCCCAUCCAAUCUACUCCUCAAAUCUUUUGACUCAAAUUUCUUUUUACUUGAGUCUCCUAAUACUUAUAUACAGCUCUCUGCCAUAGCAUUCGAGAUCCAGUUGUUGCCUGGUCUGCUGUCUCCCUGCUCCCACUCUCAGAUAGACGCAUGUGUGCAUCCAUCCAUCCUUAUCUCCCUGAGCCACCUUGCUGUAGAUAAUCCUUGCCUGCAGAUCCCUGGGCUUGCCAGGUCUCCUACUGCGGCUCCUCCUCUAGGAGGGCUUUCAAAAUCCUGUAUGUGAGCUGUGCUUAACUAAGAUGCACCCAAAGGGAGCCAGGAGAGGAGAAAUGCUGGUGUGUUUAUGGAAAACCUGUGAUAGUGCUACCCAGGCAAUGCCUACUUCUAGAUAAAAUACAGAACAUGGAUUUUUCUAAGGUACUGAGUUCUCCAUAGUGAAGACUGAAAAAUGGCUGAAAAUCAAAAAUAAAGAGCAAUAGCCACUUGGAAAAUGGUGUUUGCGCAUGUAUGUACGUACUGCCCAUGCAGCACCUGUCGUGAGUUGUUCCUGCCACGUACAGCACAUAAACAAAAGGCCCGGUACAGAUAUAUGAGAUUUAGCAAAGCUUGAACUACAGCUCCUCACUGGUAGGCAAGGAGCAAGGAAAAAUCACAGGCAGCAGAGCAAUGUCAGGCAGCAUCUUCAGGAUCAUCGUCCCAGAUGCUGAGGAACAGCGAAGGGGGGUGAGUGGUGGAGAGGCCAGCGGGGUUUGUUGAAUAUUGCUGAAGCAGGAGAUGAGUUGACCCGCCACGUAUUUUGAGGAUUUUCCCAGGACACGACAUCGCCUCCAGGAAAGAAAAGCAGAUUUACAGCUCCUCUGGGAGACAGAGCAGCCCGGGAGUGGAGACUCUGGCCUCCUGCCAAAGUGGACCCAACGAGAUCCUGAGGGCUAAUUCGGCUAAUUCCAGCUACUUCAGCUGCGCGCCGCACUGCAGGCUCAAGGCAAACUCUGAGAAAGUUCUGCUCAAGGACGGGUUUUAGUUCAACAAGGCGCUGUGUUUCAACCACGCACCGCGCGGUGUUCGUGAGGGGAAGAUGGAGGCGGCGCAGGGCUCGCCGGGAGCUGUAGUCCUGCGGCGGGCGCGGGCAGCGCCCUGGCCCUGAGGGAGGAGGAGUCGGGGUCUCCUACAGAGGAGAAUUCCCUGCCCCGCUCCUCCCUGCGCAGAUCGCUGGGAACACCGAGGCUUGGGCCGUCCGAGGAAGAGGAGUGCCCGCGGCCUGCUCACCAUCUGCUCUGUGCUUAGCCUUCACUGUCUCGGCGUGUGUAACCUCAAUUUUACCCCCAUGUCUGCUGCUGCUUCUUCUCGCCGUACGGCCGCAGGCAAACUCAAAGGUGACAGCAGCCUAAAGACACACACCCUGUUAGUCUGGCAGGAGGCAAUAUGCACGCUGUUCGUUGUUUGACUCUGCCCUGCUUUUCAUUAUUUCUCCUGGGAUCGAUGUUCGGGUGCCAGGAUCAAAACUAACAUUUGUUCUGCAUGAGGAAAAAAAAUCUCUCCUGCUUCUAAUGCCCUCAAGGGUUUCAGAAAUCACAAAAUUACAGAAUUUUCUGCAUUGGAAGAGACCCACAAGGAACACUGAAUCCAGCUCCUGGCCCUUCACAGCUCCACCCACAUUGUGCCUGACAGUAUUGUCCAAAUGACAGUCACCUUGGUGUCACAGGUGCCUUCUGCCAUCCCUGUGAAGGUGCAAAGUGUGCUUCUGGUACCAUGGAGAGCCUCUGGACCUGUGGUACAUGAACCUCCUGAGAACCCCAGACGCAAGAGAUUGCACAAACAUGUGAUAGCAGUACUGUUUGGAUCCCACCAUGCAGAAAACUUCUUGUUUAAUAUUUCCAACUGAGGGUGGAAAGAUACCCUUCCAGCCUGGAAUUAUAUCUGGAGCAUUAGCUAAACAUUGCCAGGUUUAUGGCCAAACUGAAAUGUGGAAAUCUUGGAUUAGUGUCCCUUUUGUGUCACUUCUCAGCUAAUUACUUAAUUCUGAGUACAUGAGGGGUUCUCUUCACCACAUGAAUGUUUUCUGACAUUUCGGCUACAUGACUGUGCUUGUAAGGUUGAAAUUUUCUUUGAAAUAACUUGUUUUAGGCCUGUGCCCAGGCUGUGGUUUGACAUGAUUAUUUAGGGUGUUUCAUACCCUAUCUAACAGAUACAAAUUGCAAGGUGCUGGGCAAACUCACUCUACUGGUUCAUACUGGUUCAAAAAAUGUAUGUAGGAGGUAUGUCUUGUCCUAGACUUACACAGGCUGUUUGAAUUCUCAUUAUAUAAGCUGUAUGUAAGAUAUUACAUAAAGUAUUGUAACAUUUUCUUUGGCUGUGGUA